UUUGCACAGAACCCCUCGUGAGU
rnacentral:piRNA from 1 species